UUUUGCAGGAUGCUGCUUUUGCCACAAAGAGUUCAAACGAAACAAAAGGGUUACCAGGCCUUGGGAAGUCAAGGAGCAGCUGGCCCAUGAUAAUGACACCUGGAAGAAGAAAGACUUUGCUCAAGGAGAUCAUAGUCAUAUAUAAUUCUACCUCAAUUUCUCAGCCCUUCCUGAGCGUUUUUGGACCCUCUUGGACCCUCACUGCUCAUUUCCAGCAUCUUCAAACUGUUGGGGACCCAGAGCUGCACUUAGCAGAGGGAGCUUGGCUACUUAAAUGAAUGUGUCUUUCCAAAUGGGAACAUAAUGUUGAAUGCUGAUGUUUCCCCUGAAAUUAAAUCCCAUCCCUUCCAGAGUAGCUUUGGCUCCAUUAAAUGGCUUUUUGAUAUAUAUAGGAAAUUGAAAUUUUGAUUGGAUUUCAAUGUAUAUAAUAUUAUGUCUUGAUUUAUAAUGGGGCAUAAAAUGGAAGCAAUUAAAGCAACUAGAGAGAAAAAAUUCCCCUUGAAAGGAAACAAAAAAUACUCAAUUGGCUGCAUAUUGGGGAACAACUUCUAAUUGAAGGUGUUGGAAGACAAUGCAAUGUUCCAUUUUGACACCUCUGCCGCCAAAGGUGCUGAUAAAACUUCAUAUUGAGAGUUGGAUCAGCAUUUUCCAGUGGAAGAACUAUUUGGGGAGGAAGAUUUCCCCACCAGCUGCACCCGGUAUCUCCCAGCAGCAAAGGGGAUGCUCUGGGAUGCCUUCCUCCUCCUCCUCCUCUGCCUGAAGACACAUUAUAGCACAUUAAUAUCUCUCCGGUGGCAAAGCUGAGCCUCCGGCAUCCAAAUCAGGCUGGUGAUGGAGGGAGACGCUUCCCGGGGGCACAGAGGUUCUUCUCAGCCCAAAUCAGCCCAGAGCUUUCAGACCGAGUGACAUCUACAGAUUUUAUUACAGAAGGGGAAUAUUGGAUUUGCAGUGGUGUUUUUCAGCCAUCAGAGCCUGUCCCGCUCGCUCUGACAUUCCCGGCUUCUCUGCAAUAACUUCAGAUCUAUCAACCCCGUCUCCAGGGCUCUGUUUAUCAGCCGGGGGUUGAAGAUGUUGGUGUUAGCAGUGACUCUCAUGGUACCUGCUCGGUGUGCAAAUGGAGCCGGAGGGACCGCGGGGGCCUCCAGCUCCGUCCUCAUGCGCCAUCGCCUCGCUGCAUGACCCUGAGCAAGCUACAGUGGCUUUUCAUUCUAAAAAUUGCCAGCGCAGCUCCCAACUGAAAUUCCCCAAUGAAGGCCGUUUUCAUGGGAUUACCAUUCGCAGAAUAAUUAACAGGAAGAUUCUCACAAAUUAAGAAGUCAUCCUUUCAUUGCUAUAGCAACCCUGAUUGUCCUUCCUCGAGUGGCUGAACCGAGAAAACAAGAACAAAUACAAUCUAAAAUAUAAUUGCUAACCAGCCGCCAAAGGAGCAAAGCUGGGAGAAAUUCAAAACCAAAGGAGAAGAACCCAUGACGCUCUGUUCCGUCUGCACUUGACUCUUCCAGAUCUCUGCUUUGGUUUCUCUGCUUGUUUCCCGUCUACAGCAGGACAGAGAGUUCAUUCCAGAAGAUGACAGAGGGAUCUGUUUUCCCUGAUUUAAUGACAUCAGAGGGGAAAAACAUAAGAAAUGCUGAGCACUCUCUGUCUGUGGGUGUGAGCUUUGCCGGCCUGGCUGGUGAUGAGGCUUUUACCGGGUUUGUAGAGACACGAGUGACUCACUGACUUGGCAGAGCAUUUAAGAUGAAUUAUCUGAUCAGUGGAAAAGCGUUUUCAGGUCAGCCAGAGCUAUUUGUAGUGAAGCUGGUGAGUGAUAUCUGGGCGAAAAAAAAAAGGCUGCCAGAAGAAUUAAAUGAAAAAACAUCAACCUUGUGUCAUGACAACAAAAAAAAUCCAAACAAGCCAAAACACUGGGAAUUUUUUGUGUGUUUUGUGAUGAAUAAUUAAAGCUACAUCAGCCUAAA